rnacentral:rRNA from 1 species
AUUGAACGCUGGCGGCAGGCCUAACACAUGCAAGUCGAACGAGUGGCGGACGGGUGAGUAAUGUCUUGGAAACUGCCUGAUGGACGGGGAUGACUACUGGAAAAGUUAGCUAAUACCGCAUACCAUCAGAUGUGCCCAGAUGGGAUUAGCUAGUUGGUGGGGUAACGGCUAACCAAGGCGACGAUCCCUAGCUGGUCUGAGAGGGUGACCAGCCACACUGGAACUGAGACACGGCCCAGACGCCUACGGGAGGCAGAAGUGGGGAAUAUUGGACAAUGGGCGAAAGCCUGAGGCAGCCAUGCCGCGUGUAUGAAGAAGGCCUUCGGGUUGUAAAGCACUUUCGGCGGGGAGGCGUUACCCGAAGAAGAAGCACCGGCUAACUACGUGCCAGCCGCCGCGGUAAUAC